AAACCAGCACCUCAAGUGGUCAGGAUGAUUAUUGGGCCUAAAGCAUCCGUAGCCGGCUCUGUAAGUUUUCGGUCAAAUCUGUACGCUCAACGUACAGGCUGCCGGGAAUACUGCAGAGCUAGGGAGUGGGAGAGGUAGACGGUACUCGGGAGGAAGGGGUAAAAUCCUUUGAUCUCUCGAUGACCACCUGUGGCGAAGGCGGUCUACCAGAACACGUCCGACGGUGAGGGAUGAAAGCUGGGGGAGCAAACCGGAUUAGAAACCCCGGUAGUCC
rnacentral:rRNA from 1 species